rnacentral:misc_RNA from 1 species
CUCUAAUGAAGAUAUUGCUGGCAUGGAAAUUAUUUUCAGACACAUAUAGACAAUUCUGUCUGCUUACAGAAAUUUCAAUUGCAUCAGCAACUAUGAUAAUUGAUUUGAAGAUCCAAGAACAGUCCAUCUUUGGAUCUUAAUAUUGCAUUUUGCAAGUCAAGAAAAAAACAAGUCAUCUCUACAGAGGACACCCAUUGGGCAACAGACUAAACAGAAAAAUCCAUACAAGCAUAAAUGAUGGAAUUAGCAUCUAGCAAUCAUUCUAUAAUCUUAUCAUAUUAUAUAUGGACUUUUUAGAUAAUUUUUUUCAUCAAGUCAUGUUCAGACCCAAAACUUGGAAAAGCCAAGGAGGCUGUUUUAAUCUCUCCUGUCUCAAUUGUUCAUCAACAUCAACACUUGUUUUAUUUUCACUCCGGUAUCCACCCAACGUGGUAAUGUCAGGAACCUGAACGAGCCCCAAUUCGCGUCCAUCUGAUUCUUCUCUUUUUGUAUUCAUUAUCUGAUGAUGCCUCAAGGAACUUGCCCUGUUUAUAUGGCUGGAUCCAGUGGAAGAUGAAGAGAAGCUUGGUCCUGAAUCUGAUGUUAGUGGUGUCUCCGGGUUCUUCCUCCUUCGGUUAUAGUAGCUUGACGGGCCCAGCGUUAGCUCAAUCUCACUCUCAUCUAUAAGCUCUAAGACUCUAUUCCUGCAUGAUGAUUCCGCAGCAUAGUCUUCAGCUGGCCUUUCCAAGUCUAGUUUCGUUAUGGGCUUCUGUUGCAUCUCACGAGCAUGAUUAGUCUGUGCAAAACUAAUGCUAUUCUUUAAGUUGCAUAAUUCUUCAGAAUGUGUAUUAGUCCUGUUGUUGCCAAUGUUCCUCAUCAGUAUCUUCUGGAUUCGAUAGAGUCGAUGAAGUUCAUGAACCUGCAACAUUAUUAAUUAUUAUUGAUCUCAAGCUUAGAAGCGAUAUAUAUAAAUAUCAGCCGAACGAGAAAAAAUUAAGGCUAAAAUUAAAGAAGUACCUGCUCUUUGAAUGUUUCUUCAUGUUUCAACAUGGCCAUUCUCAUGCAUUCCUUGUCAUAGGGCCUAAGAAAAUUCUCCAUUAAGUUCGUUUCUAUAGCUUGUUCUUGAGUUAGCCUCUAAAUUGUACACUGAAUCCUUCCUUUUAAAGAAUCUGUUCUCAGAAAUGCAUCUGGAUCACCUUUCCCGAUUGGUGUAAUAUAUUUUAUCUUCUUCUCAUCACUUUUGCAUCUGUCAAGGAGAAAAAAGAAUAGUGUAAUGUUAAGCUUAGGACACCCUUCUGGUUGAUGAUAGCUAUAGAUAGAUUGCUUACUUACCAAGCAGUGAGAUAUUAAAGAACAUUAAUGUCAAACACUAUUAUGAAUGCACGAUUACAUCAACUAUUUCAAGCAUAAUUUGUCUUCUAGCAGCUUGUUUUUAUUCUUACAUUCACACUUUUUUUUGGGCCACAAAUCAUAGUUUCUUCUACAGAAAUAUCUACCAACACCAUCAAUAAUUCUAUGCAAUAUCCAAUUUAUAUGCUCUUUUACCCAACUUAAUUAUCCUUCUUAUUAGCACUUCAAUGGAGCCCUCAGGCCUCAAUAAUUUCCCUGACGUUUACUUUUCCAAAAAGAAGAUGUUAUAGAUCAUAACCCAGACAUUGACUUGGAACAUUCAGAUUAAUUAUUGGAUCCGAUAGUCUUUCUUUUGACAAGUCAGUAUUAUGUAACAUUAAUGAAUAAACCCUUCAAAUCAGCAAUAUAAAAUUGAAGGAGUUACAAUUUCCUUCAUAUUUGUUGCAAUAUUAAAUGACUUCUCUGAGAUAUUCAAUGCUAAACUUCUUUUCGAUCCAGCAAAUGAUAAAAAAAAAAAAGA